CCGGACAUCACUACACGCUUGCCAGUCGCUAUUAACAUAAAAGAAGUUACCGCCAGAGCCAUAACACAGGAUCUCUGGAUCUUCUGAGAUCUGCUCCUCCAACUACACAGGAAUUUACCAACAGUUUAACUCCUCCCGCAACAAUUAGUGAAAGGUUUUAUGAAAGAAAGCUGAAAACAUGACUGAUGCAGAACCCUGCGAAAUAAAAUUGGAAGAUACUGAAGAACAAAUAGACUUGAUAGAAGAGAGCAAAGAGAUUGAAGAACUGAUUAAAGAGGGGGAGAACCAUCAUGUCAAAACUGAAGAAGCAUCCUGGAGAUCCUCCUUGACAAUAAGAGACAAAACAUGGCCUGAGUGUGAAACAAAAGCAGUUAAAAGCAGCAAAACAUUUUUUAGACCACAUUUCCUGAAGAACCACCUCAAAGUCCAUACAAAGGACAAGACUUACAUAUGUUAUUUAUGUGGAAAGAGUUUUAGUCACAUGGCUGCUUUAAAGAUACAUCAGAAAAGACACAGCGGUGUGAAGGAUCAUGCUUGCUCUGAAUGUGGGAAGACUUUUUUUACAUAUGCUGCUAUGAAAGUGCACCAGACAGUUCACACUACAGAAAAACCUUACAAGUGUUCACAAUGUGACAAGAGAUUCAAACGGUCAGAAUAUCUGAGAAUACAUAAGAGGAUCCACACUGGAGAGAAGCCGUAUGCAUGUGAACAAUGUGGGAAGAGCUUCAGACUAAAAGAAAUGCUUAAUCGACACAUAGAUAUUCACAAUGGAGAGAAGCCGCACACUUGUGAACAAUGUGGAAAGAAUUUCACACAAAAAAGUAACCUUAUCAAACACAUGAAAAGACACAGUGGAGAGAAGCAACACCCAUGUGAUCACUGUGGGAAAACUUUUGUACGUAAAGGAACCCUUAAGGACCACAUGAGAAUCCACACUGGAGAGAAUCUUCACACAUGUGAUCAGUGUGGGAAAACAUUUGUUUUUAAAGGAAACCUUAAAGACCACAUGAAUAUCCACACAGGAGAGAGGCCAUACAGGUGUGAUCAGUGUGAGAAGAGUUUCAAACAAAAAGGUGCCCUUAAUGUACACAUGAGGAUCCACACAGGAGAGAAGCCACACACAUGUGAUCAGUGUGGGAAGAGUUUCAGACUUAAGAAAACUCUUAACGAACACAUGAUGAUCCACACGGGAGAGAAGCCAUAUGCAUGUGAUCAGUGUGGGAAGAGUUUCAGACUAAAGAAAGCUCUAAGUGAACAUGUCAUGAUCCACACCGGAGUGAAGCCGUAUGCAUGUGAUCAGUGUGGAAAGAGUUUCAGACUUAAGCAAACUCUUAACGAACAUAUGAUGAUCCACACUGGAGAGAAGCCAUUCACAUGUGAUCGGUGUGGGAAGAGUUUCACACAAAAACAAGCCCUUGAUGUACACAUGAGGAUCCACACUGGAGAGAAGCCAUACACAUGUGAUCAGUGUGGAAAAAGUUUCUCACAAAAAGGAGCACUUGAUUUACACACGAGGAUCCACACUGGAGAGAAGCCGUACACAUGUAAUCAGUGUGGAAAGAGUUUCAGACUUAAGCAAACCCAUAAUGAACACAUGAGGAUUCACACUGGAGAGAAGCCGUACACAUGUGAUCAGUGUGGAAAGAGUUUCAGAAAAUGUGAUGUUUUUAAAAAACAUCUGCUUACUCAUUCUAGAGAGAGACUAGAAAACUGUGACCAAAGCAGAAGAACAUUUCUAAAGGACCGCUUGAAAGCUCAUACAAAGGAGAAGCCUUACAUAUGUUAUUUAUGUGGAAAGAGUUUUAGUCAGAUGAUUGCAUUAAAGAUACAUCAGAAAAGACACAUUGGUGUGAAGGAUCAUGUUUGCUCUAAGUGUGGGAAGACAUUUUUUACAUAUGGUGCAAUGAAAGUGCACCAGACAGUUCACACUACAGAAACACCUUACAAGUGUUCACACUGUGACAAGAGAUUCAAACGGCCAGAUUAUCAGAGAAUACAUGAGAGGAUCCACACUGGAGAGAAACCAUACACAUGUGAACAAUGUGGGAAGAGCUUCAGACUAAAAGAAAUGCUUAAUCGACACAUUGAUAUUCACAAUGGAGAGAAGCCACACACAUGUGAACAAUGUGGAAAGAAUUUCACACAAAAAAGUAACCUUAUCAAACACAUGAAAAGACACAGUGGAGAGAAGCAACACACAUGUGAUCAGUGUGGGAAGGGUUUCUUAGACAAAGGAAACCUUAAAUACCACAUGAAUAUCCACACUGGAGAGAAGCCACACACAUGUGAUCAGUGUGGCAAAAGUUUUGCACAUAAAGGAAACCUUUUCAAACACAUGAAAAGACACAGUGGAGAGAAGCCACACACAUGUGAUCAAUGUGGGAAGAGUUUCGCAGAAAAGGGAACCCUCAAUGAACACAUGAGGAUCCACACUGGAGAGAAGCCGUACACAUGUGAUCAGUGUGGGAGGAGUUUCACACAAAGAGGAACCCUUAUUGCACACAAGAAAACCCACAGUGGAGAGAAGUCAUUUACAUGUGAUCAGUGUGGGAAAAGUUUCACACAAAGAGGAACCCUUAUUGCACACAAGAAAACCCACAGUGGUGAGAAGUCAUAUACCUGUGAUCAGUGUGGGAGGAGUUUUAUACAAAGAGGAACCCUUAUUGCACACAAGAAAACCCACAGUGGAGAGAAGUCAUAUACCUGUGUUCAGUGUGGGUUGAGUUUCAAACGAAAAGAUAGGCUUCAUGAUCACAUUAAAAUCCACACUGGAGAGAAGCCAUACACAUGUGAUCAGUGUGGGAAGAAUUUCAAACGAAAAGAUAGGCUUCAUGAUCACAUGAGGAUCCACACUGGAGAGAAGCCAUACACAUGUGAUCAGUGUGGAAGGAGUUUCACACAAAGAGGAACACUUGAUGCACACAAGAAAACCCACACGGGAGAGAAGUCCUACACAUGUGAUCAGUGUGGAAAGAGUUUCACACAAAGAGGAAACCUUAAUGCACACAAGAAAACCCACAGUGAAGAGAAGCCAUACACAUGUGAUCAGUGUGGGAAGAAAUUCAAACGAAAAGAAAGUCUUCAUGAUCACAUGAAAAUCCACACUGGAGAGAAGCCGUACACAUGUGAUCAAUGUGGAAGGAGUUUCAUACGAAGAGUAACCCUUUACAAACACAAGAAAACCCACAGUGGGGAAAAGCCGUUCAUGUGUGAUCAGUGUGGGAGGAGUUUCACACAAAGAGCAAACCUUAUUGCACACGAAAAAACCCACAAUGGAGAGAAGUCACAUACAUGUGCUCAGUGUGGGAAGAAUUUCAAACAAAAAGAAAGCCUUCAUGAUCACAUGAGGACCCACACUGGAGAGAAGCCGUACACAUGUGAUCAGUGUGGGAAGAGUUUCAUACGAAGAGUAACCCUUUACAAACACAAGAAAACCCACAGUGGAGAGAGGCCGUACACGUGUGAUCAGUGUGAGAAGAGUUUCACCCUCAGAGAAAACCUUAUUGCGCACAAGAAAACCCACAGUAGAGAGAAGUCUUAUACAUGUGAUCAGUGUGGGAAGAAUUUCAAACUAAAAGAAAGCCUUCAUGAGCACAUGAGGAUCCACACUGGAGAGAAGCCAUACACAUGUGAUCAUUGUGGGAGGAGUUUCAUGCGAAGAGCAACCCUUCACAAACACAAGAAAACCCACAGUGGGGAGAAGCCGUACACAUGUGAUCAGUGUGGGAAGAGUUUCACACAAAGAGGAAAUCUUAUUUCACACAAGGAAACCCACAGUGGAGAAAAGCCGUACACAUGUGAUCAAUGUGGGAAGAGUUUCACACAAAGAAAAAACCUUAUUGCACACAAGAAAACCCACAGUGGAGAGAAGUCAUAUACAUGUGAUCAGUGUGGGAAGAAUUUCAAACAAAAAGAAAGCCUUCAUGUUCACUUGAGGAUCCAUUCUGGAGAGAAGCCGUACACAUGUGAUCGGUGUGGGAGGAGUUUCAUGCGAAGAGUAACUCUUUACAAACACAAAAAAACCCACACUGGACUGAAACAGCACCAGACAGUUCACACUACAGAAACACCUUACAAGUGUUCACACUGUGACAAGAGAUUCAAACGAUCAUCACAACUUCAAAUACAUGAGAAGAUCCACACUGGAGAAAAGCCUCAUCACUGCCAUUCAUGUGGAGAGAGAUUCACUCAAUUAUCUUCUUUAAUCUGUCAUAAAUUACAUGUGUGCAUGUCUGAAAUUACAGUAAUUGGAUGAGGUUCUGAUCCUGUACAGGUGCUAGAAAAUGCGCUGAAAGAAAAUGCACAAUGCAUUAGCGGAGCUACUGGUAUAUGCAGGAAGAUUGUUAGCCACUUCUCCCAUAGUUGGAAGAAAAGAGUGACCUUGAGGGAAGCACAAUGAGAGCUCAACCUCCCAGAGCAUGCCAUGGUGACAGACUGCUCAACACAAUGGGGUUCCACUCAGAAAAUGAUAGCAAGAGUCCUAGAGCAGCAAAGUGCAUUGUCACAAGUUUUCUCUACAGACUGCAAAGUGCAACGCCUACUCUCUUCAUGGCAGGACCUGGAGGUCUUGGAAUCUGUAAACAAGUCAUUAAGCCUACUCCAGGACUUUACAAGUGCCUUAUUGGGUGAAUGUUAUGUGAGCAUAUCUUGUGUGAAACCUGCUGUGCAUCUUCUGAACACCUCAGUGAUGGCUGAUGAUGAAACAGAUGCUGACCUGACCAAAUCACUGAAAUCAAAAAUUGUUAGCUAACUCAACAACAAAUAUACAGGCACACAGGGCUUGUUAAACUUCACAGCUUUCCUAGACCUAAGGUUCAAAACACAAUACAUCUCUGAAGAAGAGACCUAGACCUUAAAGGAUAUUCACCACCAGCAAAUCUGUAGCCCAAAGCACUGCAGUGAUGGAGAAUGAUAGCAUGGAUGUGGAAAGUCCACCUGUUGCUAAAGCCCAAAAUAAAAUUCUGGACAGUUUCUUCAAGGAAAUCACAUGCACAGCACCAAGAGCAUCAUUGUCAUCCACAUCUGAUUUUAUGCCACAGUUUAGAGAAGCAGUGGCCACUGAACUCAAUGCUUACAUUUACAUGCCAUGUAUAGAGCAUGGAGAAAAUCCACUG